AUUGAACGCUGGCGGCAUGCCUUACACAUGCAAGUCGAACGCUAACGGGCCUUUUGCUGCCGAGGAGUGGGGAACGGGGGAGUAAUACACCGGAACAUGCCGCAUCCUGGGGGGGAACGAGGCGCAGGAUUGGCUAAUACCGCAUACGAUUUACUGAUGAAAGCAUGGGGCUGGAAGGCCAGGCUCGGACUGGGCGGGCGAUGGCCGUUGAGGUAGUAGGUUGGUUAAAGGCUUACCAAGCCACCGAUCUUUGGCUGGUCUGAGAGGAGGAAGGGCCACACUGUGACUGAGACACGGCCCAGCCGCCUACGGGAGGCCGCGGUGGGGAAUUUUGGACAAUGGGCGAAAGCGUGAUCCAGCCAUGCCGCGUGGCGGCUGAAGGCAUUCGGGUUGUAAACUGCUUAUCUUCGGACGGAAAAGCCUUAUUUUAAUCCAGGAGUGUCGUGACGGUACCGUAAAAAUAAGCGCCGGCUAACUACGUG
rnacentral:rRNA from 1 species